rnacentral:rRNA from 1 species
CAGUGGGGAAUAUUGCACAAUGGGGGGAAACCCUGAUGCAGCCAUGCCGCGUGUAUGAAGAAGGCCUUCGGGGUUGUAAAGCACUUUCAGUAGGGAGGAAGGUAGUGUAGUUAACACCUGCAUUAUUUGACGUUACCUACAGAAGAAGCACCGGCUAACUCCGUGCCAGCAGCCGCGGUAAUACGGAGGGGUGCGAGCGUUAAUCGGAAUUACUGGGCGUAAAGCGCAUGCAGGCGGCCUGUUAAGUCAGAUGUGAAAGCCCGGGGCUUAACCUCGGAAUUGCAUUUGAAACUGGCAGGCUAGAGUCUUGUAGAGGGGGGUAGGAAUUUCAGGUGUAGCGGUGAAAUGCGUAGAGAUCUGAAGGAAUACCAGUGGCGAAGGCGGCCCCCUGGACAAAGACUGACGCUCAGAUGCGAAAGCGUGGGGAGCAAACAGGAUUAGAUACCCUGGUAG